rnacentral:rRNA from 1 species
AGCGAACGCUGGCGGCAGGCCUAACACAUGCAAGUCGAACGAACCCUUCGGGGUUAGUGGCGGACGGGUGAGUAACACGUGGGAACGUGCCUUUAGGUUCGGAAUAACUCAGGGAAACUUGUGCUAAUACCGAAUGUGCCCUUCGGGGGAAAGAUUUAUCGCCUUUAGAGCGGCCCGCGUCUGAUUAGCUAGUCGGUGAGGUAAUGGCUCACCAAGGCUACGAUCAGUAGCUGGUCUGAGAGGAUGACCAGCCACAUUGGGACUGAGACACGGCCCAAACUCCUACGGGAGGCAGCAGUGGGGAAUCUUGCGCAAUGGGCGAAAGCCUGACGCAGCCAUGCCGCGUGGAUGAUGAAGGUCUUAGGAUUGUAAAAUCCUUUCACCGGGGACGAUAAUGACGGUACCCGGAGAAGAAGCCCCGGCUAACUUCGUGCCAGCCGCCGCGGUAAUAC